ensembl:lncRNA
GCUUAAGGACGUAGGCUAGAGACGCAGGUUAGGGACGUAGGCUAGAGACGCAGCUUAAGGACGUAGGCUAGAGACGCGGGUUGGGGACGUAGGCUAGAGACGCGGAUUAGGGACGUAGGCUAGGGACGCGGGUUAGGGACGUAGGCUAGAGACGCGGCUUAGGGACGUAGGCUAGGCACGCGGGUUAGGGACGUAGGCUAGAGACGCGGGUUAGGGACGUAGGCUAGAGACGUGGCUUAGGGACGUAGGCUAGGGAUGCGGGUUAGGGACGUAGGCUAGGGACGCGGGUUAGGGACGUAGGCUAGGGACGCGGGUUAGGGACGUAGGCUAGGGACGCGGGUUAGGGAUGUAGGCUAGAGACGUACUCUAUGGAUACGAGCUCAGGAUGUGGGCUAGGGGUAUAGGCUACAGAUGCAGGUUUGGGGUCAGGAUGCGGGCUGGAGAUGUAGUCUAGGCCUGUAGGCUAUGGAUGUGGGCUAGGGAUGCAGGUCACAGAUGCUGAGACAUACAACAAGGGGCCCUCACAUGAGAAAAUGUCUUCUUCUUCUGCAACAGAGAAGCUUCUCUUUCCUGAAAGUGAUUGUUGGAUUCCUUACAUUUUAGAAACAGCUACAGUUGAGUCAAAUAUUUCAGCAAGUGGACUCCGUGUUGUUUGCAUUUCUGAACGGUUACCCCUCACUGGCCCACUGCUGGAGCCACCAGGAAGUUGGCCAGAGAGGUCUGCGGAGCCCUGUGGAACACCAGCCAGGACACUCAUCACCACCUGUCCCAGUGAGUGAUGGAGACCCGCACUCAGCUAGUCUGUGGCUUGUCACAAUCAAACCAAGGACCUCAGACUAGGGGAACAGCUGGGCAUGCCUGUUUACUCGGCACGGAGACCAUUACUGAUUUCAGACGAUGCUAACUGGCAGGGCUUUACCACCCUCUGGUCCAAAUCAAGAAGCUCCCUCCAGUAGUGAAGCUGCUGCCCGCGAGGAGGCGCUGUUACCUCCAGGAGGCAAAACGCCCAGGAUCCACCCACGGAACUCCACCCUGUGAAACGCUUCAGAAUCGCUCCGUUCUCGCUCAUGCGCCCUUUCUUCCAGAUGAAGGUUUGGAUCCACAUUUCUCUCUGGAGAGUCUCUGCUGGGUGCUCAGCCCCAGCUGCGUUUAGAGAGCAGUUUAACAGACGCCGAGCAUCAUGGCUUCCAUCCAGGGCCAUUAGAAAACCCAUCUUUCCAGGACACCCCUCAGACUUCCAGGAUCCCAGAUGGGACUCGCCUGGACGUGCCUACCUUUCCCAGGCAGCUGCCCGUCUUUGCUGUGAAAGUACCACCGCGCCCAGGACGGCACGUGUGCGCCCGGUCCCCAGGGGGCUGUUCUCGUUUAUCCCCACGUGCAGCGCCAGCUUUAGUUCUUCCUCCAGCGCUGAGCAGUUGUGUCUCAGCCCCCCGGCCCUCGCCCCUCCCCUCUCCCUGCGCCCCUCACCACGUCUUGCCCAGGCCUUGGUCUGUUCCUUCCAUUUGUCACCUGCUCUGUCCCCCCACCCACGGCAGAUGAGCACUAGGCGGCGUGGCUUGGUGCUCACGCUGCAGUCCCCAGGGCGCGGUUGUGAUUCACAGGAAGAGCCUCAGCUCAUCAGCACCCUUAUCGUCCCUCUGACUGCACGUUCACCCGCCCCACUGAGCGACUGUCUCAGCUCUCCUAGGUUACGAUGGGAAACCAACGACUGUUUGCAUGAAUAACUAGGCAAUACUGGUCCCAUGAAGCUCCCUGACUGCGGGCACGAUCCAUCGUGAGUGUUUAAAGCUGCCUCUCGGUGUUCCGUAUGGUCUGUAUUUCUGCAUAUCUAUCCUUCAACCUCUGUUACUCAUUAUAUCCUUGGUUUCACUAAAAUUUUACACCUUUUGUGUUUCACAU